rnacentral:rRNA from 1 species
UACAGAGGCCUCGAGCGUUUAGGCGGAAUCACUGGGCUUAAAGCGUGUGUAGGCGGACUUCUAAGUACCUUGUGAAAUCCCACGGCUUACCCGUGGAACUGCUGGGUAUACUGGUUGUCUUGAGCUUUCUAGGGGCGAGUGGAACAAAUGGUGGAGCGGUGAAAUGCGUAGAUAUCAUUUGGAACGCCAAUGGUGAAAACAACUCGCUGGGGAAAUGCUGACGCUGAGACACGAAAGCCAGGGGAGCGAACGGG